rnacentral:rRNA from 1 species
CGAAGCAACGCGAAGAACCUUACCAGGUCUUGACAUCCUCUGACAAUCCUAGAGAUAGGACGUCCCCUUCGGGGGCAGAGUGACAGGUGGUGCAUGGUUGUCGUCAGCUCGUGUCGUGAGAUGUUGGGUUAAGUCCCGCAACGAGCGCAACCCUUGAUCUUAGUUGCCAGCAUUCAGUUGGGCACUCUAAGGUGACUGCCGGUGACAAACCGGAGGAAGGUGGGGAUGACGUCAAAUCAUCAUGCCCCUUAUGACCUGGGCUACACACGUGCUACAAUGGACAGAACAAAGGGCAGCAAAACCGCGAGGUUAAGCCAAUCCCACAAAUCUGUUCUCAGUUCGGAUCGCAGUCUGCAACUCGACUGCGUGAAGCUGGAAUCGCUAGUAAUCGCGGAUCAGCAUGCCGCGGUGAAUACGUUCCCGGGCCUUGUACACACCGCCCGUCACACCACGAGAGUUUGUAACACCCGAAGUCGGUGAGGUAACCUUUAUGGAGCCAGCCGCCGAAGGUGGGACAGAUGAUUGGGGUGAAGUCGUAACAAGGUAGCCGUAUCGGAAGGUGCGGCUGG